CCUACGGGCGGCAGCAGUAGGGAAUCUUUCACAAUGGGCGAAAGCCUGAUGGAGCAACGCCGCGUGCAGGAUGAAGGCCUUCGGGUUGUAAACUGCUUUUAUAAGCGAGAAAUAUGAUGGUAACUUAUGAAUAAGGAUCGGCUAACUACGUGCCAGCAGCCGCGGUCAUACGUAGGAUCCGAGCAUUAUCCGGAGUGACUGGGUGUAAAGAGUUGCGUAGGUGGCAUAAUAAGUAGCUAGUGAAAUCUGGUGGCUAAACCAUUCAGACUAUUAGCUAAACUGUUAAGCUCGAGACCGUUAGGGGUAACUAGAAUGUCUAGUGUAGGAGUGAAAUCCGUAGAUAUUAGAAGGAACACCAAUAGCGUAGGCAGGUUGCUGGGACGGUUCUGACACUAAGGCACGAAAGCGUAGGGAGCAAACGGGAUUAGAUACCCGGGUAGUC
rnacentral:rRNA from 1 species